AACGAACGCUGGCGGCAGGCCUAACACAUGCAAGUCGAGCGCCCCGCCAGGGGAGCGGCGGACGGGUGAGUAACGCGUGGGAACGUACCCUUUGCUACGGAAUAGCCUCGGGAAACUGGGAGUAAUACCGUAUGUGUCCUUCGGGAGAAAGAUUUAUCGGCAAGGGAUCGGCCCGCGUUGGAUUAGGUAGUUGGUGGGGUAAUGGCCUACCAAGCCGACGAUCCAUAGCUGGUUUGAGAGGAUGAUCAGCCACACUGGGACUGAGACACGGCCCAGACUCCUACGGGAGGCAGCAGUGGGGAAUCUUAGACAAUGGGCGCAAGCCUGAUCGAGCCAUGCCGCGUGAGCGAUGAAGGCCUUAGGGUUGUAAAGCUCUUUCAGGGGGGAAGAUAAUGGCUGUACCCCCAGAAGAAGCCCCGGCUAACUCCGUG
rnacentral:rRNA from 1 species